rnacentral:misc_RNA from 1 species
AAGUCGUAACAAGGUUUCCGUAGGUGAACCUGCGGAAGGAUCAUUAAUUGUUCUUUUCAAGAGGCUCCGUAAAUCUGUAUACUCUCUACCGAGUGAUGAGCAGUAGGGCCUCUGUUUAGACCCUUGUCUUUUGCGCACUCAUGUUUCCUCGGCGGGCUUGCCCGUCGAUUGGACAAAACUAUAACCUUUUUUAAUUUUCAAUCAGCGUCUGAAAACUAUAUAAUAAUUACAACUUUCAACAACGGAUCUCUUGGUUCUG